rnacentral:rRNA from 1 species
CGGAAAAGGGAAAGGCUUAGUGGCGGACGGGUGAGUAACGCGUGGGUAACCUGGCCCAUACAGGGGGAUAACACUUAGAAAUAGGUGCUAAUACCGCAUAACAACAGAAAGCGCAUGCUUUUUGUUUGAAAACCAAGGUGGUAUGGGAUGGACCCGCGUCUGAUUAGCUGGUUGGCGGGGUAAAGGCCCACCAAGGCGACGAUCAGUAGCCGGCCUGAGAGGGUGGACGGCCACAUUGGGACUGAGACACGGCCCAAACUCCUACGGGAGGCAGCAG